CAGCCUAUGAAGACCGGUGACUCUAUCCUAACAACAAGAACAAAUGUGGACUUAUAAAAACGGGACUGUCCCCAAAAAGAAGACCAAGAAAGAGAAAGAAGUUGUAAUAUUUCCACCUAUUUCCAAUGGCUCUACCUCACUGCCUCGGGACAGCAAAAACAAGAGAGCGACCAUUCCCACAUCCCAAAGACUCCAGGAGAUGUUCUUUUCCCACUGUCGAACCGACCAUGGCAUUCUAGUGAAAAAGAUUAGGUUC